rnacentral:rRNA from 1 species
UUUUUAAUAUGUUUUUUGCUCCACGCGAGAAACAUGCAUACGUGCGCGGAAUAUAUUAAGCGCGGUUCCUUAUUCUUGACGUUUUAGGCAAGUUUUAGCUUGCGGGUCAUUAUCCACGCGUGUAGGGGCGUCCUUGUGGUGGAAAAGCGGUCGGGUACCGAAAGGGGUCGAGACCGUGGUAAGCACGACACGUGUACGUUGUUGAGCGGGAGAGUAAGUGGUACGGUGCAGUAUUCGUUAUUAGGAAGCGUUGUCAAAGAGUGCUCGAUCGUGUUUGUGGUGGAGCCGGGAGGCGGGAGCAUAAUGGACGAAGGCGGGGGAAACAUGUCGGAUGCGAUCAUACCAGCACUAAAGCACCGGAUCCCAUCAGAACUCCGAAGUUAAGCGUGCUUGGGCGAGAGUAGUACUAGGAUAGGUGACCUCCUGGGAAGUCCUCAUGUUGCAUUCCC